rnacentral:rRNA from 1 species
UUACGGCUAUAUCACGUUGAAAGAUCGGUUCCCGUACGAUCACUGAAGUUGAGCAACGUCGAGCCUAGUUAGUACCUAGAUGGGUGACGGCUUGGGAAUACUUGGUUG